GCUGAGGCGGGGUUAGGAAUUGCGGCGCUUUAUCUCUGGCGGAGGGGCCGGCUUCUAGGGCAAAUCUGGCUUCGGGCCUGGGGUUGGUGGUAAAAGUCGUAGUAAUUAAUUGUAACGGGCUACUGUUUCUUGAACACCUUUUACAUUUAUUGGCUUGUUUAGUCUUCACAUCCCCCCUUCCUGAAAGGAACUCUUGAAGAUCCCUCUGAUGGCUUACCCAGGACAUCCAGCUGCACAGUAAAGGUGGCUUCUCCUGCUCUGUUCUUGGCAACACAUGCAUAGGCCCCUGCAUCUGAAGCUCUGACCACUUCAAAGAUGAGUGAAUGAAAACCCUUUUCAGACACUAUCAUUUUGUGCAAGUCAUCUGAUUGAACUGGUCUUCCAUUCAGAUACCAUGACACAUCAGGAGCUGGCAGUCCGCUGACCUGGAAAGGAAGACACAAGAAGGAGAUGACAGAAUUUUAAAUUAUAUCAUCACUGGUACCUAUUUGUCCAUUUACAACUUUUAACAAUUCUAGUAUCUGGGUGGGUUUGUGAUUGACAGUGCAAAGCAAGAGCUUAAAAAGGUGUUUGCUUUCAACAAUGUUUAACAAAACAGUAGAAAUUAAACUCUCGAAAUCAA